rnacentral:lncRNA from 1 species
GCAAUUGCUUUUGAGGACUUAGCCAGCGUUCUUUGCCAACGCCAACGUCAAGAAGACGUUGUCUUCCAGGAUGUUUAUAGUUUGACGUCUUGCAUUUGAGUCUUUAAUCCAUCUAGAGUUGAUUUUCGUCUAUGCGGAAGGGUAAGAGUCCAGUUUCCUUCUUCUGCCUGUGACUGAGCUGCUUAUCCCAGCACCAUCUAUCGGACAGGGAGUCCUUUCCCCGCGGCUUGUUUUCGUUGGUCUUGUCAAAGACCAGACGGGUGUAUGUGUGCAGCUUCAUGUCUGAGUUUUCUAUUCUGUUCUAUAUGAUAAUGAAACCAAAUCAAUGUCUCUGCUCAGACCCCUUCUGACAAGGUCUGUGGCGCCCACCAUGGCGUUAGGGCCACAGCCUCCUGCCCCAUGUGCCAGGCCCGGCUCUGCCCAGCUCCCUGCAGCUGCGCCAGUGUGUGCUGUGACUCGUGCUCCUGGUUUGUCAUCUGCCUCUCAGUAGACACCACGGCCUUCAAGCUUUCUCCGCUCCGUGACCAGCAGCUGGGACGGGACCAGCAGUGCAUGCGGCUCUGGAUUCAUGUUUGUUGAAUGACUGACUGAACGGAGGCUCCCUUACAGAAGUGAACGGCGCGGCCCUCCCUGAGUUCCGGCCUGGCUCUGGAUACCAAGGAGCAAGGUGGUCAGGGGUCAGGGGCUGGAGUGGGGAGAUUGCCUGGGAGGGGGCUGGAGGGUGUGGUGGAACUGCAGGUUCUCUCCUUGACAUGCCUGUGGGGGAGCCUUUCCCGGCCCUCUCUCCGCUGGUUUUCACCCUUUCUCCGGUGCAGCCACACUGGGCAUCCCACCCCAGGGAUCCAGGAAGGGGGCGUGUCGGCCGAGUGCGAGCCCGUUUCUGAACACCCUGUGAAGUUGGUGAGAAUUCAGGUGCCUAUCGGCCGGGCUCCACCUGUGCACCAGGUGUGGCCGCCUCACUGUGACUUCAAAGGUCCCCGGGGAGGAAGGAGGCUCCCAGCUGCACACAGCCACAGUCUAGUCCUAGCAGCAGUGACCUUGGUUUGGAGCCCGGGUUGGGGACCCCAGUGAUGCCAAUUUUCUUUGCCCUCAUCAUCCCAAGGCGGCUGCUGCAGUUUCAGACAUCACAACUUUGUUCAGCGCAAAGGAGAAGGGGGACAGGGGAUGAGAAAACUGGAGUUCGGAGAUGGGCUUGCUCACGGCCUCACAGCCAGGGAGCCUGCUCACCCCAGUGUGUGCCCAGCCAGAAACCUGCGUCUGGGCCCCCAGAGGCUGGGCUCCUCACAGUGGGGACCCACCAUGUCCACUGCCUGCAGGAACCGACAGAGAGGCUGUGAUGCUGAGCCCCGGCCUCAUGCAACAAAGCUUUGCCCGACGGAAUGCACCCAGCGGCAGUGGAGAGCAGUGCUGGAUCCUGCGGGGUUGAGGCGGUGGAGCUUGGCCGUACAUGAAGUGUAGUGCCAGGAUCUGCUUCUGAUGAGGCCUCAGGAAGCUUCCAGUUGUGGUGGAAGGUUCAAGCAAUUCUCCUGCCUCAGCCUCCCAAGCAGCUGGGAUAACAGGAUGACCCACGCCAUUCAGGAAGGACCCACUCCUGUGAUCCAAACACCUCCUACCAGCCCCCACCUCCAGCACUGGUGAUUACAUUUCAACAUGAGAUCUGUGGGGACAAACAUCUAAACCAUAUCGAGUGGGCUCAGGAGGCAGCAGCCCUGGAAGAUGCCGAGUGCCUGGGAGGACAGAGGAAGAUGCCGGAGUUCACGGGUGCCAUGUGCAGGUGCAGCUCCUGCCAGGCGGCUGAAGAUGGGGCUCCAGGUGGUGGCAGUGCCCCAGCCCCACCAGUCCUUCCUGGGGAGAGGGUCACGGCUCAGUGGCUGAAGGGCUGGGGGGCUUGUCUGAAAGGAGUGAAUGCCUGCCCAUCAGGCACUUUCGGAAAAAGCUGGAAACCAAGAUUUCCCUGAGAAGUCCUGGGCUUUCUGGUGUUGGGAACUAUAGGAAGCAGCCGGCUUCUGCUUCCCCUCCAGGGUCCAGGAGAGAAUUUGUUUUGGACAAACCUUCUAGGCCACAUGCUUGGAGCACCUCUGACCUCACCCAGUGCCAUGCCCCCCAGCUGAGGCCCGGCCCCUGCAUGUGUUCAGGGAUGUGAGGUCAGGGAGUGGUUCAGGGAUGUGAGGCCUAGCACUGGUCCGCAGGCCUCUGGGAGCCCUCUGGGCCCCUUGCAGAGCGGGGCAGCACUUGGCUGAGGACUGCGAGGGCUGAGCUGUCCUGACCCAGUCCUGGGAUAGCAGAGCCGCCCACCCUGCCUGGGGGCUCCUGGGUGUCUCCUGCAGCCACGCCACUUGUAGCUGGGUUCUGUCCUGGGACAGCAGAGACACCCAGCCUGUCUCAGGUCUCCAGGGCGUCUCCUGCAGCCACGCCACUUGUAGCUGGGCUCUGUGCUUGUUGUCAGUGCAGCCCCAGCAGCCCAGAGCGGUUCACAAGCUCCCAGACCGAUUUACCUGCUCCAGUGAAACUCCUAUGAGGGCACUGAAACUUCCCAUUAUUACAGGGCUCCGGCCCACAGCCAUGGGGAUGCCCCUUCCCACACCAGCUCCUGCAACUGGAAGGCUGUGGGCCACUCACUCUGAAGCCUCCCCUUUCCAGACACAAGGGCAGGAGUCAAGGGCAGUGGCAACAUCCCCCAGAGAUGCCGAUGGACGGUGUUUCAACCUAAAUCGGACAGCCGCACUCCCUCCCUGGCCACACAGCAGGACAGAGACCAGGACACAGCGGCCCACCCGCUGCCCUCACACUCCCCUCCUCCACGGUGUGAACUAAACCGCACACGUGGCCUGUUACUCGGACAAGGUGGGAAGGUGUGGCCCCACCCCCUCCUAAGACAUUACGAUGCGGAGAACCCCCAAGCCCACCCUCAACUGUGUUCACUGGAAACAGCCCAGCAAGGGCUACGUGUGCCUUCCGGUUUCACAUUUGGGAAGUGGGUAAAAUGCAGUAUUGACAGUUCUCAAAUAUUGGUGUUGAUCUUAACUGCUAGAGAUACCGUGAGGGAAAAGAGCGCUUUUGUUCAACGUUUAUGAAUGGAUAAAGGAGGAACUGAAACCAGCAAAGGGGCGGCUGGCCCUGGACCAGACGCGGCUUCGCCGAGGAGCUGUGGGCAGGGUGGGCCGGCACCUCCUUUCCUCUCGAGAAGGAUGUGGAGAGCAGGUGGCUCGUGCCACCUGCCUCCCUGGCCCUCGUCCAUGCCUCUGCACUGACCGCUGGGCUCCUGCCGCCCGGGGAUGUGGGGAAAGGCCUUGGAGUGGGAUGGAGGUCCGCGUGUGGGUGUGUGGCAGGUACCGGUGGAUUGAGGUCCAUGUGUGGGUGUGAACCUGGGUGUGAGACUGUGUGUGGGUGGGUGUGUACGUGAGUGUGCAUGUGCACGUACACCUGUGUAUGUAUGCGUGUGAGGUGUGUGAACUGUGAGUGUGCUGUGGCUGUGAGCGUGUGCACACGUGAACUGAGCGUGACAGUGCGAAUGUGUGUGCCGCGAAUUCCACUGGCCACAUGAAUGCAGGCGAGGCCGCUCCGCUAGGCUGUGGAUUUCCAGCAUGGCCACGCUGGUUGCCUGUGUUGUCUUGUUGACACAGGAUGGAGAAAGAACGAUGCAGGAUGCAUCUCUGAGCCUGGCUCAGGCACCCAGAGGGAGCUGGGUUUGGGAGCAGCUGCUCUGCGUAGCCCUGGCUUGGAUGCUGCGAGCCAGGCCGGAAGGCUCCCGCGCCUCCAUGGAUCUUCAUGAUUUGGCCAACCAGAGUGAGCACCGUGAGGAAGUGGAGACAGACACAACUUUCAGCAGCAGAAGACAGGAUAAUAAAGUUGGGUUUGGUUUAUGAUCUAACGUGACCAUUAAAAGUGUUUAAUAAACAACGUUAAAGACUACUUAGUGGCAGAUGCAUCCGGCAAUGCUUAGCAUAGCCUCAUGACUGUCAAUACGCACAGGCUUGAAAAACACCUGCAGGAUACAUGUGGGCAUGUUAGUGUGGGUUAUCUCAGCAGGGCGGCAUAUCGAAUCUCGGUGCCCUUCUGUAGUGUCUAUAUUUUCUACAGUGAAGCUGGGAUACUUUGGUGAGCAGAGGCAUUGUUUUCAAAGUUCCCAUUGGUACUUCCAUCACAUCCCCGUGUGGUUCUGUCCUGGACCGGCUGCCCACUGAGGUCCCACUCGCCCCUACCCUGCCCUGUCUGGCCAGCUGGGUACCUGCCCAGGAGGAAGAGGCUCAGUGUUUGGGGCCUGUGUUAUGCCCUGAAAAGCCACUGCUGUUGGGUGAGGGCCCAUGAGGCCUUCAGUUUGCCAUCGUCAUGUGCUUCUGAAGAGCCAGGAUGCUGUCCACUGUUUGUCUCCUGGCGGGACAGAAUUCCACUCAGUGCAUAUCAGGGGCAGUGAUGGGGCUGGGGGUGUGAGGGCUCAGCUGUGCCCUGAACUCCUUCACAGUCUUGCAGGAGGGGUCAUGGAGCCAUAUCUGGGUUUGCAAUUUUUGGAAAGUUACGUGACGAUCUGCACUCAGGAAUGCUGAGUGUUCGGCAGGCCCCAUGAACAGUGAUCAAAUGUGACGCUGUGUGUCCCACAGCCUAAGGGCUGUGGCAGAGACCAGGAGGGCCAUCAGCUCCCACAGCUUUCGAGUCCACCUCAGGGCUCCUCCUUGCUGACCUCCCUGGGUUGUCAGUGGAGACAGCCACCCUCCCACAGAGCACCUGCCUGAAAUGGGCCAGGCCGCCCCUGUGCCCUGGCUCUUGCUGCACAUGCUGAGGUCAGCACGGAGGCGCCCUCGGGCACCAGCAUGCCCUCGGGUUUGCAGCUUGUCAAAUAUCCCAUGAAGGCAACCUGACCAAAUGUGCUCUAACACCACUGGACCAAUGGAACGUCUUGGGCUGAACAGAUGCAGCCUUGCAUCCACCGCCUGCCACCACCCUCUGUGUACACCCCCUGCACACACCUCUGCACACACCCCCCCUGCACACUGUUGCACAUACCCCCUGCACACAGCCUGUGUACACUCCCUGCACAGAUCCCCUGCACACAACUCCCUCACACAUCCUCUGCACAAACCCUGUGUAUACCCCCUGCACACACCUCUACACAUACCUUCACACACCAUGUAUACCUCCUGCACACACCUCUGCACACACCUCCUGCACACACCUUGUGUACACUCCCUGCACACUGUUGCACACACCCCCUGCACAUAGCCUCUGCACACAGCCUGUGUACACUCCCUGCACAGAUCCCCUGCACACACCUCCCACACACAUCCUCUGCACAAACCCUGUGUAUACCUCCUGCACACACAUCUACACACACCUCCUGCACACACCUUGUGUACACCCCCUGCACACUGUUGCACACACC